UACGGAGGGUGCAAGCGUUAUCCGGAUUCACUGGGUUUAAAGGGUGCGUAGGUGGCUUUGUAAGUCAGUGGUGAAAUGCCGCAGCUCAACUGCGGAACUGCCAUUGAUACUGCUUAGCUUGAAUCAGGUCGAGGUGGAUGGAAUAUUACAUGUAGCGGUGAAAUGCUUAGAUAUGUAAUAGAACACCGAUUGCGAAGGCAGUUCACUAGGCCUGAAUUGACACUGAGGCACGAAGCGUGGGAUC
rnacentral:rRNA from 1 species